AACUAUAAUAAUGCUACAUAUUAGAGGCCAAAUGUAGUUCUCACGUAGCAUAAUAAGUUCUCUUAUCCAUACGGCAUCUGUUCAAGAACAUUUUACCUUUAGUGUUAGAUGGAUAUUGCCCUCCAAAAAUCAAACACCUUCAAUCUCAACUUGCAAACCUGAAGGCUUCUACUAAAACUCAGGCACUCAUGCCAAGAGAAAGAGAGAGAACAUUAUGUCAUGACCCAAAAUAAUAGUAUUAUGUCUGAAAAAAGCAUAACUGAUCGUAUACAAUGAUUUACUAAUACUAUGAUUAGUUGUUCGCACCCCUGCACCAUCUCCUAAAAAAGUGCUAUUUUAUUAAUUCAGUACAUAUAGAAGGAAAAAGCACUCCAGAUAGAACUACCAGUACUAAGAAAAUGAGAUUGUCCAUUGGACUUCCAUCAUAGUAUUUUAUAGGAUCCACACUAAUAAAAAUCUAGAGUAAAUGUUUUCAUUGUCUUUGAUUGAUCACAAACAGAUUUCUGCUAGCUCCACAAAGACAAAGAAGCUCAUGCCUGUAAUCCAAUGGAAACUAUUAAAGAAGCAUGUGAACAGAGCAGGAAAACAUCAAAGCACAACAAUAUUGAUUAGUUGUUCUUUACAGUACACAUUUACCAAUGACGUGUUGUGAAUUAAUAGUAACAAAUAGUAAAUAUGAUAGUAAUAACACUGAAAUUUUGAGGCUGAACACAUGCAUUAUGUAGCAGACGGACAUUUCUAAACCUGAAGCGAAAAGAAGAUGGCAUAUAAAAUUAUAAAAUUAAUCUUAAAGAAAAACAUCAUGACACACAUUCUUUAGUUUCAUUCUUGAGACUGCAAUUCUGCAUUACAGGCAUUUUCUCAAUUAGAAUAGUACAAAAUCCACCUCCUAUGUUGUUAUUAGAACAAAAAAGUCACCAGCAGUUAAAAGGUUAGCUUGCAAACCAAAAUAACAAAUAGAAAAUGGCAAGAUUAUUUAGACACCAAUAUUAAGUAGUCAGGCAAUAACGAAUUCAUAUAAGACAUUCGCUUCAAGGGUUUCACUUACAUAUUUGAUGUAUCAGAAUAGAAGCGACCAGACCAAUACCUCUAUGUGUACUGAAACAAUGAUAUAAAAUAGGAUGAAGAUGUGCCCAUCCAUAUUUUGCAGGGAAAUGCAAAGCAACAAUUUUCGUGUUUGUAUAAAACGCUAAUCUAGCAUCUAGUCUUCUUUCGUCAGGCUUGUUUGCAACUAUAUGGAUACAAAACUAAAAGAUUCAUUUAGAAACACAGGAGGAUAUUAAUCCACUAUUCAAUAAGAAAUCGGCAAAAAAAUACAAAACCGAUGAAGGGAUCUAUCUAGUCGCCCAGGCUAGCAACGUCCUCCCUUGUCAAUGACGCCUUCGGAUAGAUCUGCAAUGCAAGAUGAUGAUGCAAUUCCUUUGGACAGAUGUGAAAUGUAAGAUCAAUAUUGUAACAGCAUCAUCAGUACGUUGUAUUGUAUGUAUGAAGUAGCUUUCGGGGAGUGAUGCCGGCUGGGAACAACGACAUCACGAUAAGAGGGACACUUUUUAGGGGAUGGAAAUUAAGACUGCAAUGGCAGGCAGAUGAUUAUGCUCUGUAGGCUCAGUUCAUCGAGGGCUGAAAGUAGCUAAUUUAUAAGUAGCCCGCACUCAAAUUUCCUUUUCCUGUUUUUUGUUGUCGAGACAUACACACACACACACACACACACACACACACACACAGAGAGAGAGAGAGAGAGAGAGAGAGAGAGAGAUGACGAUCCAUUUUUUCCCAAUAGAGCAAAAUAGGAGAAACCAAGGGGACAAUGCCUCUAGGAAAACAGGAGAGACCAAGGAGAGGACGACUCGUCACACGUGGCAUAUGAGCGCAUCUCAUGCUUCAUCCGACUGCUACAGGUAAAUUAUAUAUUCACUUCCUAAGUAAAAUCGUGUAGGUUGGGUCAUUUUUCCACUUCAAGAGUUAUCUAAUUCGUUUGGUUAACAUAUUUCAAUUACAUAGAUUAAUUUGAUAGUUUGAACAACGUUGAUAAAUGAGGAAGCACUAAUUAAAGAAGUCUCUAAUUAGAAUAGUAAAAAUUACAAAGCAUUUCGAUGGGCAGGAUAGAAUGUUAAAAUAUUCAGUAGACGAUUAGUGAUUUUCAAAAAGUCAACACACUGUCAUCUUGAAAUUUCCCUCUCUAACGACACCCUUGGAAGAACUAUCCUAUAUAACAUUGCAUCCUAGCAUGCACAUUCGUGAAUGAAAAAGAAGUUACCCCUGUCGUAACAGCAACUAAGCACUAAAAGGGCACUAAACUUAACAUCCUAAGAAUGAUGAAGGUACUUACACGUAGUUUCUCUCAAGCUGCAAAAAUAUUAUACAAAAUAGUAUGCAUUGACCAUACUUGCAAAAAUAUUACACAUAACAGUGACCAUGGUUAGCAGCAAAAAAUCUUAAGUGGAGUGCAGUACUUGCAUAGUUGCAUAUAGUGUACAGUUAGGGCAAUAACAAAUGAUAUAAACCAUAUGUGUGAUAUAAAAAGAAAUGGAGUUUAACUUUAAGGGAUAAAGGUUUGCAAAAAAAUAUUAUGCAUGUGCAGCUCGUGCUUGAAGCUAACUGUGUAUGGCCAAUAGUUUUAAAAUCUGACUACCAGCUGAUAUAACAACAACAAAAGUGCACAAUUUAGUAGUUUAACACAUGAAAGAAUAUUUAAACUCCAAGCAUCAUACCUCUGUGAUGAAUUGAACGGAUGGAGAAUAGAGUAGGGAUCCUGGCGCUAGCAGUCCGCUGCAGCCCCUUCAGUUGGCAACAUCACUGACUAUGACGGCCGCCUUAUCCGCCGUUGCAUCAACCAUUAUGAGAUUGAUUCAGUAAAUUGGUCUAAAAAGAUUUAUGUUGGCAUGCUGCAUAGUCACAACCGAAAAUAUGUUGUUAUUGAAGACCAAAAAAGAAAGGGAUUGGGGAGAUUCUAGAUUGAAUCGUGAGUCUGUGACCCUUUUUCAGAUCAGUUGAUACAAAUCUGAACUUCAAGAUGACACUGAAGUAAGACGGAGAAGGAUUAGCAACAGGCGAUUGGAUUGUGUGGGCCUUUUUUCAGAGCGACUAUAGCAUGAGGUACACUUGGGGCCUCACGAACAUGGCCUCCAGCGUAAGGCGCUCGUCCAGUGCAGGCACCGCAGCACGACGACGGACGGCAGGGGCGGCGGGAACAUGCAACGGAUGGCGG
rnacentral:lncRNA from 1 species